rnacentral:rRNA from 1 species
GAUGAACGCUGGCGGCGUGCCUAAUACAUGCAAGUCGAGCGAACAGACGAGGAGCUUGCUCCUCUGACGUUAGCGGCGGACGGGUGAGUAACACGUGGAUAACCUACCUAUAAGACUGGGAUAACUUCGGGAAACCGGAGCUAAUACCGGAUAAUAUAUUGAACCGCAUGGUUCAAUAGUGAAAGACGGUUUUGCUGUCACUUAUAGAUGGAUCCGCGCCGCAUUAGCUAGUUGGUAAGGUAACGGCUUACCAAGGCAACGAUGCGUAGCCGACCUGAGAGGGUGAUCGGCCACACUGGAACUGAGACACGGUCCAGACUCCUACGGGAGGCAGCAGUAGGGAAUCAUCCGCAAUGGGCGAAAGCUUGACGGAGCAACGCCGCGUGAGUGAUGAAGGUCUUCGGAUCGUAAAACUCUGUUAUUAGGGAAGAACAAAUGUGUAAGUAACUAUGCACGUCUUGACGGUACCUAAUCAGAAAGCCACGGCUAACUACGUG